AACUUUGAGCGGUGGAUCACUCGGCUCGUGUGUCGAUGAAGAGUGCAGCCAACUGUGUGAAUUAAUGUGAACUGCAUACUGCUUUGAACAUCGAGAUUGUUAGGACCAAAAGUACUAACAGAUACAAUUGAUAAUGAGUUACUCAAGAGUAC
rfam:Schistosoma margrebowiei strain Zambia genome assembly, scaffold: SMRZ_scaffold0001581